rnacentral:rRNA from 1 species
GAUGAACGCUGGCGGCGUGCUUAACACAUGCAAGUCGAGCGGAAAGGCCACUUCGGUGGUACUCGAGCGGCGAACGGGUGAGUAACACGUGAGUAAUCUGCCCUUGGCUUUGGGAUAGCCACCGGAAACGGUGAUUAAUACCCGAUACGACCACCUACCGCAUGGGAUGGUGGGGGAAAGUUGUUUCGGCCAGGGAUGUGCUCGCGGCCUAUGAGCUUGAGGGUGAGGUAAUGGCUCACCAUGGCUUCGACGGGUAGCCGGCCUGAGAGGGUGACCGGUCACACUGGGACUGAGACACGGCCCAGACUCCUACGGGAGGCAGCAGUGGGGAAUAUUGGACAAUGGGCGGAAGCCUGAUCCAGCAACGCCGCGUGAGGGAUGACGGCCUUCGGGUUGUAAACCUCUUUCAGCAGGGACGAAGCGCAAGUGACGGUACCUGCAGAAGAAGCACCGGCCAACUACGUGCCAGCAGCCGCCGUAAGAC